GGGAGAUGUGAGCAAAGGUCAAAGGAGAAGUGAAGGAUCUCAGAGUGCUUGACAGACUGUGGACCACAUUCUGUUCUUGUCUGUUGUCUAGUCUCUCUAGGUGGAGUACCUCCCAGCUCAUCAAGGUGCACCAGAUGGAAUAGUGAGAAAGAAGAGAGGAAAGACAACAGGAGGAAGAGGAAAAGCGGAUGAAAGGUAUUCUGUCAGCCCAGCAGCACCUCUCGUCAGUCACAGACCGGAAGGAUUGUCUCCAGGGAAGCCAGUUCAGAUUUCCCCCAAAUGACAAGCACGUGUACAUGCCUACAACUCUCGGAGAGUGUGCAGGCCUCCUAAAGGUUGAUGCUUUUGUAACAAUUCCAUCAGACUUCACCACAAG